AUUGAACGCUGGCGGCAUGCUUUACACAUGCAAGUCGAACGGCAGCGCGGGCUUCGGCCUGGCGGCGAGUGGCGAACGGGUGAGUAAUGCAUCGGAACGUGCCCAGUAGUGGGGGAUAGCCCGGCGAAAGCCGGAUUAAUACCGCAUACGACCUGAGGGUGAAAGCGGGGGACCGAAAGGCCUCGCGCUAUUGGAGCGGCCGAUGUCGGAUUUGCUAGUUGGUGGGGUAAAGGCUUACCAAGGCGACGAUCCGGAGCUGGUCUGAGAGGACGACCAGCCACCCUGGGACCUGAGCACGGCCCAGGCUCCUUAGGGAGGGCACAGUUGGGAACUUUUGGCAAUGGGGGGAAACCUUGUCCAAGCAUUGCGGGUGCGGGGAAGAAGCCCUCCGGGUUGUAACCCGUUUUUUUCGGGGAAAAAACCUUUUGGCUUAAACCCCGGGGGGAUGACGGUACCGGAAGAAUAAGCACCGGCUAACUACGUG
rnacentral:rRNA from 1 species